rnacentral:rRNA from 1 species
GCUUGUCUCAAAGAUUAGCCAUGCAUGUCUAAGUAUAAAUAACUACACAGUAAAACUGCGAAUGGCUCAUUAAAACAGUUAUAGUUUAUUUGAUACAUAAAAUGGAUAACUGUAGAAAAACUAGAGCUAAUACAUGCCAAGACCGCAAGGUCGUAUUUAUUAGAUAUACCAAGCAGGUGAAUCAUAAUAACUUCGCAAAUCGUGGCCACGCCGCGAUAAAUCAUUCAAGUUUCUGCCCUAUCAUGCUUUCGAUGGUAGUGUAUUGGACUACCAUGGCUCUCACGGGUAACGGGGAAUUAGGGUUCGAUUCCGGAGAAGGAGCCUGAGAAACGGCUA